rnacentral:rRNA from 1 species
AUUGAACGCUGGCGGCAUGCUUUACACAUGCAAGUCGAACGGUAACAGGCCGCAAGGUGCUGUCGAGUGGCGAACGGGUGAGUAAUGCAUCGGAACGUGCCCAGUCGUGGGGGAUAACUACUCGAAAGAGUAGCUAAUACCGCAUACGAUCUAUGGAUUAAAGCGGGGGACCGUAAGGCCUCGCGCGAUUGGAGCGGCCGAUGUCAGAUUAGGUAGUUGGUGGGGUAAAGGCUCACCAAGCCAACGAUCUGUAGCUGGUCUGAGAGGACGACCAGCCACACUGGGACUGAGACACGGCCCAGACUCCUACGGGAGGCAGCAGUGGGGAAUUUUGGACAAUGGGCGCAAGCCUGAUCCAGCAAUGCCGCGUGCAGGAAGAAGGCCUUCGGGUUGUAAACUGCUUUUGCACGGAACGAAACGGCUCUGGUUAAUACCCGGGGCUAAUGACGGUACCGUAAGAAUAAGCACCGGCUAACUACGUG